UGUCUUCACACCUUCAGCCUCAGCCGAGAGCAAAAGAAGCACUUCCUGUCCAGUAUACAGAGUGAUGAACCGUGCCUGACGUUAUACGUGAGCACUGAGGCUGAAGAGAGAAGAGUGAGCGCAUGCGCGGAUGUAAUGGCUUGAGGGGUGGCAGGUGUAGUCUAACCCUUGUACCUGCUGGGAAAGAAGUAGGGGAAGGGGUAAUUGCUGAGCUGCGGUUCCUGUGAAAUGGUGUAUCAGUGUAUGAACGUGAGUGUGCACACUUAUAAAUGUGUUAGGGUAGAGAGUGUGAGCCCAUGGAAGUGCAUUUUGAAUAGGUGUGCGCACGUGUCUGUGUAAACAGGUGCGAGAGGCCUGAAUGCAUGAAUGUUUGUUAGAAAGAUCAGGCGCGUGUGCACAGGACAAGUGAGAGCUUCGGGACCCUCAGUGAUGUGCCAGUGCGUGCCUUCGGAAGGGGCGUUCAAUCUGCCUUUUAGGUCCCUUCCCACGCCACCCUCUUGCUUUGGAGGUCCCCUUCCUCUCUUCCCAAGCACAGGGGCAGCACAAGAUGAAGGAGUAUGGAAAGGCGAGUCCAAGACAGAUGUUAUGAUUAAGGUGGUCGCUGGCGAGCCCGACUCCCAGCUACAGGUGUCUCUGCGG
rnacentral:lncRNA from 1 species